AGUGACGUUCCCCGUAAUUGCUUUCAGAAAAUUUUAACACCGUGUUUUGCUUUUUUUUUACUUAUCGCACUGCGAAUCGAGAAAUUGCUGUCUGACGUGCUGGCCGACUCAAAUAAAAGGCUGAGUUCUGCAAGGCUGUUUCAGUCGGUGUCCAUUGUUCAAUCUCCUCCUGUUGUGCUGCUCUGCUCGCAGAAAAGGCAAAGAUGGUAAACAAUCAAGGAGUCUUCAUUGUGCUUUCUCUUCUCCUUGUUCUCUUCGUCACCGCGGAUGGAGCAUCUCUGGGUCUGUUAUUGGAAUCAAUGAAGCAGCAGGGGCGCCUUGACGUUGAGCCGACAGCGGACGCAUGAAGGCCAGAACAAAAACUGACAACCCGAGUUCAUAAUAUUUGGUAAACCUCGGUACACAAUAGAUGAAAAGCCUAAUAAAGAGUAGCUUCAAA